rnacentral:rRNA from 1 species
UCAACGGCCGCGGUAUCCUAACCGUGCGAAGGUAGCGUAAUCACUUGUUCUUUAAAUAAGGACUAGUAUGAAUGGCAUCACGAGGGUUAUACUGUCUCCUUUUUUUAAUCAGUGAAACUAUUCUCCCCGUGAAGAAACGGGGAUUUUUUUAUAAGACGAGAAGACCCUAUGGAGCUUUAAAUUUUAUUUCAAUUGCUCUCUUUAUACCCCGCCCCAGCCUCUUAACUUUAACCAAGCAUGCUGAUAAUAAAUUUUAGGUUGGGGUGACCGCGGAGCAUAAAAAAACCUCCGCAUAGAAUAGGCCUAAGCCUUGAACAAUAGAGCUUCAGCUCCAAGUACUAAUAUAUUAACAUCCAUUGACCCAAUAUUUUUGAUCAACGAACCAAGUUACCCUAGGGAUAACAGCGCAAUCUACUUUGAGAGCUCCUAUCGACAAGUAGGUUUACGACCUCGAUGUUGGAUCAGGGUAUCCCAGUGGUGCAGCCGCUACUAAAGGUUCGUUUGUUCAACGAUUAAAACCCUACGUGAUCUG